CAUUGUCGAACCCUGCAAGGCAGAACCAGACCGCGCACGCGUCAUCCAAUCCGUCGGUGACGGCACCGUCCGUUAAAAGAACCCACGGCGCGGAAGGCGUCAAGGAACACUGUGCCUAACCCGGGGGUAUGGCUAGCUUGCUAGCCGUCCCUUGUGUUGCAAAGCUAUUUAAUCCACACGACUCUCGGCAACGGAUAUCUCGGCUCUCGCAUCGAUGAAGAACGUAGCGAAAUGCGAUACCUGGUGUGAAUUGCAGAAUCCCGCGAACCAUCGAGUCUUUGAACGCAAGUUGCGCCCGAGGCCACUCGGCCGAGGGCACGCCUGCCUGGGCGUCACGCCAAAACACGCUCCCAACCACCCUCAUCGGGAAUCGGGACGCGGCAUCUGGUCCCUCGUCUCGCAAGGGGCGGUGGACCGAAGAUCGGGCUGCCGGUGUACCGCGCCGGACACAGCGCAUGGUGGGCGUCCUCGCUUUAUCAACGCAGUGCAUCCGACGCGCAGCCGACAUUAUGGCCUCAGAACGACCCAGCAAACGAAGGGCACGUUGCUUGGACCGCGACCCCAGGUCAGGCGGGACUACCCGCUGAG
rnacentral:rRNA from 1 species